rnacentral:rRNA from 1 species
GAUGAACGCUAGCGGCAGGCUUAAUACAUGCAAGUCGAGGGGCAGCAGGACUGUAGCAAUACAGUUGCUGGCGACCGGCAAACGGGUGCGGAACACGUACGCAACUUACCCUUGUCUGGGGCAUAGCCCACCGAAAGGUGGAUUAACUCCCCAUAAGAUAGUGGUGUGGCAUCACACAGCUAUUAAAACUUUGGUGGACAAGGAUAGGCGUGCGGCUGAUUAGGUAGUUGGUGUGGGUAACGGCCCACCAAGCCUGCGAUCAGUAACUGGUGUGAGAGCACGACCAGUCACACGGGCACUGAGACACGGGCCCGACUCCUACGGGAGGCAGCAGUAAGGAAUAUUGGUCAAUGGAGGCAACUCUGAACCAGCCAUGCCGCGUGGAGGAUGAAGGCCCUCUGGGUUGUAAACUUCUUUUACAGGGGACGAAACACUUCUAUUCUUAGGAGCUUGACGGUACCCUGGGAAUAAGCACCGGCUAACUCCGUGCCAGCAGCCGCCGUAAAAC